rnacentral:lncRNA from 1 species
GCAAAAUCAUACUUGAUUUCAUUGAUAGCAAAAUAUCUAUACAACUCAUAAAUUGAUAAUCUAAAAGGUGCUUCCCACAUUUAAUUAAUAAGAAAGAUCAAAUAAUUAACUUUAUUAAUUAUUUAUUUCACAUCUCUAAUCUCCUCAAACCAUUUUAAAGCCACAUGCUUGAAAAAAGGCAUUAGACACUACCUAACCUACGCUAAACUAUCUGCCACAACACACAAACGCAACCCAACCCAACCCAACCCAAACAAAACAAGAAGAACAUAAAAUUGAACUAGAACUUCAAAUAAAACUACUAAAACUGAAACCCCAAAUGGUAAAACUGAAACUAGAAGCAGUAAAGAGAGAAAACAAAGCAUCGGCCCAAACAGGAGUGAGAAAUGCGGCCGGAGCCGAACCGACCUCCGCAGCCUCCUCGAUCAUUCUAUUCGGAUUGGCGGGUUGCGUUCGGCUGACCCAUCCCCUUACCACUGUUGUCGGAGCGUGGCCUCCCUUUCUCAGAUUUCGGACCAGAUUGUCCACAAACUCCCCAAUCUCUAGAGUCGAUCUCGCAGUUGAAAGGAUUGAUGGUUGAAAAGAUCAGUUUGGGAUUGAUGGUGUUGUCAUCGUUGCAAUCCGAGCUCCUGAAUGGCGGCGGGGGCCGACGCCGCCCGCCGCCGAUUUAUGGUCGGUGCUGCCUGGAGUCGGCGUCGGCUACUUUCCGACAGAACGAGGUGUGAUGAUGAUUGCGAAUGUUGAUGUCGAACGUGGCAUGGCAGCGAGAGAUUCCUACGUUGAGGAAGAAACCUAGUCUUAGCAGGAGGGGUGACUAAACAGGAUGUGAGAAGUUUGGUAACAUUCUAAGAUUAAUUAUAAAU